rnacentral:rRNA from 1 species
AGUGAACGCUGGCGGUAGGCCUAACACAUGCAAGUCGAACGGCAGCACAGUAAGAGCUUGCUCUUACGGGUGGCGAGUGGCGGACGGGUGAGGAAUACAUCGGAAUCUACUUUUUCGUGGGGGAUAACGUAGGGAAACUUACGCUAAUACCGCAUACGAUCUACGGGUGAAAGCAGGGGAUCUUCGGACCUUGCGCGAUUGAAUGAGCCGAUGUCGGAUUAGCUAGUUGGCGGGGUAAAGGCCCACCAAGGCGACGAUCCGUAGCUGGUCUGAGAGGAUGAUCAGCCACACUGGAACUGAGACACGGUCCAGACUCCUACGGGAGGCAGCAGUGGGGAAUAUUGGACAAUGGGCGCAAGCCUGAUCCAGCCAUACCGCGUGGGUGAAGAAGGCCUUCGGGUUGUAAAGCCCUUUUGUUGGGAAAGAAAAGCAGCAGGUUAAUACCCCGCUGUUCUGACGGUACCCAAGGAAUAAGCACCGGCUAACUUCGUG